rnacentral:rRNA from 1 species
GAUGCUGACGAGUGGCGAACGGGUGAGUAAUACAUCGGAACGUGCCCGAGAGUGGGGGAUAACGAAGCGAAAGCUUUGCUAAUACCGCAUACGAUCUCAGGAUGAAAGCAGGGGACCGCAAGGCCUUGCGCUCACGGAGCGGCCGAUGGCAGAUUAGGUAGUUGGUGGGAUAAAAGCUUACCAAGCCGACGAUCUGUAGCUGGUCUGAGAGGACGACCAGCCACACUGGGACUGAGACGCGGCCCAGACUCCUACGGGAGGCAGCAGUGGGGAAUUUUGGACAAUGGGCGCAAGCCUGAUCCAGCCAUGCCGCGUGCAGGAUGAAGGCCUUCGGGUUGUAAACUGCUUUUGUACGGAACGAAAAGACUCUGGUUAAUACCUGGGGUCCAUGACGGUACCGUAAGAAUAAGCACCGGCUAACUACGUGCCAGCAGCCGCGGUAAUACGUAGGGUGCGAGCGUUAAUCGGAAUUACUGGGCGUAAAGCGUGCGCAGGCGGUUAUGUAAGACAGAUGUGAAAUCCCCGGGCUCAACCUGGGAACUGCAUUUGUGACUGCGUAGCUAGAGUACGGCAGAGGGGGAUGGAAUUCCGCGUGUAGCAGUGAAAUGCGUAGACUAUGCGGGAGGAACACCGAUGGCGAAGGCAAUGCCCUGGGCCCUGUACUGACGCUCAUGC